rnacentral:rRNA from 1 species
UUUUAUAUAAUUUUUUUAAAGCUCGUGGGGAUCAGCUGCAGGGACAUUAUCGAGUGUUAAAAAACUCACUAUCCUUUGUGAACUUACCUGUGGGAAUAGCGUUGUUUCGGUGGUGCUGUCCCGGGGGGACAAUGGCCGGCGUAAUACCUGGCAAGCCACCGGCAGCGCGAUCAACUAAACUCUUGUUUUUAUUGUGAUUACUUCUGAGUUAGCUUCGCGAGGAGCAAAAAAAAAAAUGAAUCAAAACUUUCAGCAACGGAUCUCUUGGUUCUGGCAUCGAUGAAGAACGCAGCGAAAUGCGAUAAGUAAAGUGAAUUGCAGAAUUCAGUGAAUCAUCGAAUCUUUGAACGCACAUUGCGCCCGCCAGUAUUCUGGCAGGCAUGCCUGUUCGAGCGUCAUUUACAACCCUCAAGCCCCAGCUUGGUGUUGGGGAUCCCCUCGGUCUACUGAGCGGUCCCCCAAAUACAGUGGCGGACCCGCUGGUGUCUUCCCCCUGCGUAGUAGUUUUACUCAACUCGCAUUGGGACCUAGCGGGAGCAGCCGUAAAGCCCUAGGAAAGAUUCAUCUCUCCCCUAGACUUUUUAUAUUGUUGACCUCGGAUCAGGUAGGAAUACCCGCUGAACUUAAGCAUAUCAAUAAGCGGAGGAAAAGAAACCAACAGGGAUUGCCUCAGUAACGGCGAGUGAAGCGGCAACAGCUCAAAUUUGAAAUUCUGGCAUCCGCCCGAAGUUGUAAUUUGCAGAGGAAGCUUUUGGCGAGGUUCCUUCCGAGUGCCCUGGAAUGGGACGCCACAGAGGGUGAGAGCCCCGUAUGGCAGGAUACCGAGUCUCUUGUAUAGCUCCUUCGACGAGUCGAGUAGUUUGGGAAAUGCUGCUCAAAAUGGGAGGUAAAUUUCUUCUUAAAGCUAAAUAUUGGGCCAGAGACCGAUUAGCGCACAAGUAGAGUGAUCGAAAGAUGAAAAGCACUUUGAAAAGAGGGUUAAAUAGCACGUGAAAUUGCUGAAAGGGAAGCGCUUGUGACCAGACUUGUGCCCGGUGAAUCAUCCAGCGUUUCUCGCUGGUGCACUUUGCCGGGUUCAGGCCAGCAUCAGUUCGCCGUUGGGGACAAAAGCUUUGGGAACGUGGCUCUUUGGAGUGUUAUAGCCCAUUGUAUAAUACCCUUCGACGGACUGAGGUUCGCGCAUCGCAAGAUGCGCAUAAGGGUACGACCCUUUAAAACAAAAAAA